rnacentral:rRNA from 1 species
UACGUAGGGUGCGAGCGUUAAUCGGAAUUACUGGGCGUAAAGCGUGCGCAGGCGGUUUUGUAAGUCUGUCGUGAAAGCCCCGGGCUCAACCUGGGAAUUGCGAUGGAGACUGCAAGGCUAGAAUCUGGCAGAGGGGGGUAGAAUUCCACGUGUAGCAGUGAAAUGCGUAGAGAUGUGGAGGAACACCGAUGGCGAAGGCAGCCCCCUGGGUCAAGAUUGACGCUCAUGCACGAAAGCGUGGGGAGCAAACAGG